GACGAACGCUGGCGGCGUGCUUAACACAUGCAAGUCGAACGGUAAGGCCCUUCGGGGUACACGAGUGGCGAACGGGUGAGUAACACGUGGGUGACCUGCCCUGCACUUCGGGAUAAGCCUGGGAAACUGGGUCUAAUACCGGAUAGGACCACUGCCUGCAUGGGUGGUGGUGGAAAGCUUUUGCGGUGUGGGAUGGGCCCGCGGCCUAUCAGCUUGUUGGUGGGGUGAUGGCCUACCAAGGCGACGACGGGUAGCCGGCCUGAGAGGGUGACCGGCAACACUGGGACUGAGAUACGGCCCAGACUCCUACGGGGGGCAGCAGUGGGGAAUAUUGCACAAUGGGCGCAAGCCUGAUGCAGCGACGCCGCGUGAGGGAUGACGGCCUUCGGGUUGUAAACCUCUUUCAGCACCGACGAAGCGCAAGUGACGGUAGGUGCAGAAGAAGGACCGGCCAACUACGUGCCAGCAGCCGCCGUAA
rnacentral:rRNA from 1 species